AGUGAACGCUGGCGGUAGGCCUAACACAUGCAAGUCGAACGGCAGCACAGUAAGAGCUUGCUCUUACGGGUGGCGAGUGGCGGACGGGUGAGGAAUACAUCGGAAUCUACUUUUUCGUGGGGGAUAACGUAGGGAAACUUACGCUAAUACCGCAUACGACCUACGGGUGAAAGCAGGGGAUCUUCGGACCUUGCGCGAUUGAAUGAGCCGAUGUCGGAUUAGCUAGUUGGCGGGGUAAAGGCCCACCAAGGCGACGAUCCGUAGCUGGUCUGAGAGGAUGAUCAGCCACACUGGAACUGAGACACGGUCCAGACUCCUACAGGAGGCAGCAGUGCGGAAUAUUGGACAAUGGGCGCAAGCCUGAUCCAGCCAUACCGCGUGGGUGAAGAAGGCCUUCGGGUUGUAAAGCCCUUUUGUUGGGAAAGAAAAGCAGCAGGUUAAUACCCCGCUGUUCUGACGGUACCCAAAGAAUAAGCACCGGCUAACUUCGUG
rnacentral:rRNA from 1 species